AUUGAACGCUGGCGGCAGGCCUAACACAUGCAAGUCGAGCGAGCGGCGGACGGGUGAGUAAUGUCUGGGAAACUGCCUGAUGGAGGGGGAUAACUACUGGAAACGGUAGCUAAUACCGCAUACCAUCAGAUGUGCCCAGAUGGGAUUAGCUAGUAGGUGGGGUAAUGGCUAACCUAGGCGACGAUCCCUAGCUGGUCUGAGAGGAUGACCAGCAACACUGGAACUGAGACACGGUCCAGACUCCUACGGUGGGCAGCAGUGGGGAAUCUUGCAACAUGGGCGCAAGCCGUAUGCAGCCAUGCCGCGUGUGUGAAGAAGGCCGUCGGGUUGUAAAGCACUUUCGGCGGGGAGGCGUUACCCGCAGAAGAAGCACCGGCUAACUCCGUGCCAGCCGCCGCGGUAAUAC
rnacentral:rRNA from 1 species